rnacentral:lncRNA from 1 species
UUGACUUGCAUGAAGUAUGGAAACAAUUUGUCUCGUCGUGCUCAACGACAUUCUAUAAUUUGUUUUUGAAUUCGAUCAAGUUUUGACGAAUUGGUGUUUUGGGUAUUUUCGGCUUCGUCGGGGUUAUUGUUCAUGGCGGCUGUCCUUGUGCUUCUGGGUUCGUUUCUGAUGUCUUGGAACACCGAUUAAUGGCUGAUGGAGCCCAAUUUAUUGAAUUGGCUAAGUGGUGAGCUCGGGUACGUUUCGCUGUCGUGGUGCCACUAUGCGCGAAUUGGUGAAGUGGGUAGAGUUUAAGGAUUUGGGGUGGUCUCUCCUCGAAUUCCACCGAGGAGCCUAUGGCGGGGUCAUUUCAAACUCUGUGAUCCCAAAUUGGGUUUAG